ensembl:snoRNA U8 U8 small nucleolar RNA
UUGUCAGGUAGGAUAACCCUUACCUCUGUUUGGAGGGCAGUAUUAGGACAACAUGAUUGGAGUCGCAUGAUACGAUUAAUGUCUGCUGCAUAAUCAGAACUCGCAUCACCCUGAUUGCUCCUAUCUUCC